rnacentral:rRNA from 1 species
UACGAAGGGGGCUAGCGUUGUUCGGAAUUACUGGGCGUAAAGCGCGCGUAGGCGGUUUUGCAAGCCAGAGGUGAAAUGCCUGAGCUCAACUUAGGAAUUGCCUUUGGGACUGCGAGGCUUUGAGGACUGGAGAGGUGAGUGGAAUUCCUGGUGUAGCGGUGGAAUGCGCAGAUAUCAGGAGGAACACCGAUGGCGAAGGCAGCUCGCUGGGACGGUACUGACGCUGAGGCGCGAAAGCGUGGGGAGCGAACAGG